UGCAGUCGAACGAGCGAGAGAGAGCUUGCUUUCUCAAGCGAGUGGCGAACGGGUGAGUAACGCGUGAGGAACCUGCCUCAAAGAGGGGGACAACAGUUGGAAACGACUGCUAAUACCGCAUAAGCCCACGACCCGGCAUCGGGUAGAGGGAAAAGGAGCAAUCCGCUUUGAGAUGGCCUCGCGUCCGAUUAGCUAGUUGGUGAGGUAACGGCCCACCAAGGCGACGAUCGGUAGCCGGACUGAGAGGUUGAACGGCCACAUUGGGACUGAGACACGGCCCAGACUCCUACGGGAGGCAGCAGUGGGGAAUAUUGCACAAUGGGGGAAACCCUGAUGCAGCGACGCCGCGUGGAGGAAGAAGGUCUUCGGAUUGUAAACUCCUGUUGUUGAGGAAGAUAAUGACGGUACUCAACAAGGAAGUGACGGCUAACUACGUGCCAGCAGCCGCGGUAAAACGUAGGUCACAAGCGUUGUCCGGAAUUACUGGGUGUAAAGGGAGCGCAGGCGGGAAGACAAGUUGGAAGUGAAAUCCAUGGGCUCAACCCAUGAACUGCUUUCAAAACUGUUUUUCUUGAGUAGUGCAGAGGUAGGCGGAAUUCCCGGUGUAGCGGUGGAAUGC
rnacentral:rRNA from 1 species